rnacentral:ncRNA from 11 species
GAUACAUAGCUCAAUGGUUAGAGCGGCUGACUGCAUAUCAGCAGGUCCCUGGUUCAAAUCCGGGUGUGU